rnacentral:rRNA from 1 species
UACAGAGGUGGCAAGCGUUGUUCGGAAUUACUGGGCGUAAAGGGCUUGUAGGCGGUUAUACAAGUCAGCGGUGAAAGCCCGGGGCUCAACCUCGGAAUUGCCAUUGAAACUGUAUAGCUAGAGAGUGUUAGAGGAAAGUGGAAUUCCUAGUGUAGGAGUGAAAUCCGUAGAGAUUAGGAGGAAUAUCGAUGGCGAAGGCAGCUUUCUGGGACAUUUCUGACGCUGAGAAACGAAAGCGUGGGUAGCAAACAGG